UACAGAGGUCCCAAGCGUUGUUCGGAUUCAUUGGGCGUAAAGGGUGCGUAGGCGGCGCGGCAAGUCGGGUGUGAAAUCUCGGAGCUUAACUCCGAAACUGCAUUCGAUACUGCCGUGCUUGAGGACUGGAGAGGAGACUGGAAUUUACGGUGUAGCGGUGAAAUGCGUAGAUAUCGUAAGGAAGACCAGUGGCGAAGGCGGGUCUCUGGACAGUUCCUGACGCUGAGGCACGAAGGUCAGGGGAGCAAACGGG
rnacentral:rRNA from 1 species